rnacentral:rRNA from 1 species
AUUGAACGCUGGCGGCAGGCCUAACACAUGCAAGUCGAACGAGUGGCGGACGGGUGAGUAAUGUCUGGGAAACUGCCUGAUGGAGGGGGAUAACUACUGGAAACGGUAGCUAAUACCGCAUACCAUCGGAUGUGCCCAGAUGGGAUUAGCUAGUAGGUGGGGUAAAGGCUCACCUAGGCGACGAUCCCUAGCUGGUCUGCGAGGAUGACGCGACACACGGGAACUGAGACAUGGUCCAGACGCCGACGGGAGGCAGCAGUUGGGAAUAUUGCACAAUGGGCGCAAGCCUGAUGCAGCUAUGCAGAGUGUAUGAAGAAGGCCUUCGGGUUGUAAAGUACUUUCAGCGGGGAGGCGUUACCCGCAGAAGAAGCACCGGCUAACUCCGUGCCAGCCGCCGCGGUAAUUC